AUUGAACGCUGGCGGCAGGCUUAACACAUGCAAGUCGAACGAGUGGCAGACGGGUGAGUAAUGCUUGGGAAUCUAGCGUAUGGAGGGGGAUAACUCCGGGAAACUGUAGAUAAUACCGCGUACCAUAGGAUGAGCCCAAGUGGGUUUAGGUAGGUGGUGGGGUAAAGGCUCCACAAGCCGACGAUCUCUAGCUGGUCUGAGCGGAUGACCAGCCACACUGGAACUGAGACACGGCCCAGACUCCUACGGUAGGCAGCAGUGGGGAAUAUUGCGCAAUGGGGGCAACCUGACGCAGCCAUGCCGCGUGAAUGAAGAAGGCCUUCGGGUUGUAAAGUUCUUUCGGUAGCGAGGCGUUAACUACAGAAGAAGCACCGGCUAACUCCGUGCCAGCAGCCGCGGUAAUUC
rnacentral:rRNA from 1 species